GACGAACGCUGGCGGCGUGCUUAACACAUGCAAGUCGAACGGAAAGGCCCUGCUUUUGUGGGGUGCUCGAGUGGCGAACGGGUGAGUAACACGUGAGUAACCUGCCCUUGACUUUGGGAUAACUUCAGGAAACUGGGGCUAAUACCGGAUAGGAGCUCCUGCUGCAUGGUGGGGGUUGGAACGUUUCGGCGGUUGGGGAUGGACUCGCGGCUUAUCAGCUUGUUGGUGGGGUAGUGGCUUACCAAGGCUUUGACGGGUAGCCGGCCUGAGAGGGUGACCGGCCACAUUGGGACUGAGAUACGGCCCAGACUCCUACGGGAGGCAGCAGUGGGGAAUAUUGCACAAUGGGCGGAAGCCUGAUGCAGCAACGCCGCGUGCGGGAUGACGGCCUUCGGGUUGUAAACCGCUUUCGCCUGUGACGAAGCGUGAGUGACGGUAAUGGGUAGAGAAGCACGGGACAACUACGUG
rnacentral:rRNA from 1 species